UGCCAGCCGCCGCGGUAAUACGGAGGGUGCAAGCGUUAAUCGGAAUUACUGGGCGUAAAGCGCGCGUAGGUGGUCUGUUAAGUCAGCUGUGAAAGCCCUGGGCUUAACCUGGGAACUGCAGUUGAUACUGGCAAGCUAGAGUACGAGAGAGGGAGGUAGAAUUCCAUGUGUAGCGGUGAAAUGCGUAGAUAUAUGGAGGAAUACCAGUGGCGAAGGCGGUCUCUUGGUCCUAUACUGACGCUGAGGCUCGAAAGCGUGGGGAGCAAACAGGAUUAGAUA
rnacentral:rRNA from 1 species